CAUAAAUUCCUUCCAGAGAGGAGGGGGCAGGACAGGUACAUCGGAAAAGUCACCAUUGUAGCCUUAUGACUGUCUGUCCUUUUUGACUACUGGGUUCGACUGGGAUAAAUGAUGAUUAAUUUUUUUAAUUAAAUUAAAUCAUAGCUAGCUAGUUAAGGGAGGUUGUUGCCACGUUGCUCGUUAGCUGUGUCAUAUCACAUCCUAAAGUAACACUCGACCAGCGUGAUUAAAAAGGAGUCUUAGGAAGGCGCUAUUUGGAGAAAACUGAACCCAGCAAUCGAAUCUGCUCAUUAACUGAAAAAGCAGCAACGCACUAUGCAACCUACAAAUUAUAGCUGACGAUUAAAUCUUAAUUGAAGAUUUAACUAUAUUGAAAAAAUAUUAAUUGCGCCUGUUAUAGGAAUCUAUCCGAAACGUUAUAUUCAAAGAAAACAUGGAUCCGUCGCUCAUAGUAUUAUUCGUCGAACACUGUGUAUUCAGACAGUUACGCACCUAAGGUCUGCCCCUCUGUACUGCUCAGUGCUUUCAUCAUCGUGCACAAUAACUGUUGUGAAGAAACUAGCCUUGAAAUUUUGUUUUGUGAAUUUGUUUAAACCGAUUAUUUCCAGAUCCUGUUACGUUAAGAACGCCUGGAAGAACUUCCUUGGUAUCACCAAUGCGGAAAUCAAAUCAAAAUAAGAGCCACCAACAGGCAGAACAUACUAGCCUGAUUUGAGGUGAAAAAGAAAAUCUAAGUUUUGCAUCACAACUGACCAAGCUCUAGAGGUUCUGUUGUGGGAGUACCUUUCCAGACUGGAUCAGCUGCUGUCGGGACCAGACAUGAAACAGUCCAGGCUUUCUCAUCCAGAAAAAGUAUAGCAAAGCUGUUUCUUACACAGACCAGCUGUCCUCUAUGUCCAGCCCUCCCUCUCAGAGUGGUGGAUUCUGUCAAGAUGACCCGACACCAACAGCCAAUCAGAUUCGAUAACUGAUGGCAUGAAAUGUUUAAGCCCCACAUCUUCAGCUGAAAACAUAAAGGUUGAAUCUGUGACCGACAGCUCUGAAUACACAGGUGUAGACCCAAGGUCACACUUGAACAGAAGGGAUGACAUAGAGAAGAGGACAGAGAGGACAACUGUAUGUUUGCUGUGCAGAGAACAAAAGGACAUACUAGCCAACAUGAAGGUGGAGGAAGAAGAUGGGGAGAGACAGUGUGAAAAUGGAGAGGGACAAUGUUGUAAAAGAUGAAGGAUUCUUGAAGGAGGAGGAAAAAGAGAGGGAUGAACUUGGGGAGAAACAUUUAACAGGGGGAGAAACUCAGAAUUUGGUGAAGAAUGGAAUAAAAUCAGAAUAUGGACAACAAGAAAGGGCGGAGCUUUCUAAUCUGGUCACUUCCUGUCUGGUAAAACAGCCCAGAGUGCUGAUUCACCAACUUGAAAUUGCCAAUAUUUCAGUUCCAUGGAGAGGUAACGGAUCACUGAGACAGUAGGGUCAAGUCGUGACCUGGAAGAGGAAGACUGUUGGCCAGUUGGAGAGAUGCAUUGUUAAUGAGAGAGGUCAGCGGAGAAGGGCCAGAGUGGUCGAAGGUAACGCAAAUAACGCAUUACAACAAUAGUAUACAGAAGAGCAUCUCUGAACACACAACGCAUCAAACCACUAAGUUGAUAGGAAGUAUUAAAGCCUCUGUAGUGAUUAAUGGAAGCAAGUUCAUACAACAUUUGGAAAAUCCAUAUGUAAUACAUGUAUAAUACUUUAACAUUUUUCAAAAGCCUAGAAUCAAAACUUAAAAUGCACCCCACCCCCACCCCUCUGAACUGUAUAUUUUACAUCCCUCUAUUUGGACCUAGGCUAGUAUUUCCUUUUUUCCCUUCUGCUGUUCU